CGAAUCUCGAAAGCCUGUCUCAGUUCGGAUUGGAGGCUGAAACCCGCCUCCAUGAAGUUGGAUUCGCUAGUAAUCGCGCAUCAGCCAUGGCGCGGUGAAUACGUUCCCGGGCCUUGUACACACCGCCCGUCAAGCCAUGGAAGCUGGGGGUGCCUGAAGUUCGUGACCGGAAGGAGCGACCUAGGGCAAAACCGGUGACUGGGGCUAAGUCGUAACAAGGUAUC
rnacentral:rRNA from 1 species